rnacentral:misc_RNA from 1 species
GAUGAAGAACGCAGCGAAAUGCGAUAAGUAAUGUGAAUUGCAGAAUUCAGUGAAUCAUCGAAUCUUUGAACGCACAUUGCGCCCCUUGGUAUUCCGAGGGGCAUGCCUGUUCGAGCGUCAUUAUCACCCCUCAAGCUUUGCUUGGUGUUGGGGCCUGCUGUAAUAGGCAGCCCUUAAAAUCAGUGGCGGUGCUUCAAGGCUCUAAGCGUAGUAAUUCUCCUCGCUAUAGUGUCUAGUGGUUGCCAGCCAGAACCCCCCAUUUUUUAUGAUUGACCUCGGAUCAGGUAGGGAUACCCGCUGAACUUAAGCAUAUCAAUAAGCGGAGGA